UACUCUCACACUCUCUGAUCCUUUGGAUUCAGGGAGCGGUGGACUUGGGUGUUUGCCGCUUUCCUUGUGGCUCACCUCAAAUGUGUUAGUGCACCUCUUGGUUGGACAUAGAACGGCGUGAUAAGUGUCUUCGCCGGCACCUCGCAAGAGGGUGGCCAAUUGGGAGCUCUGUGCUUUCAAACCGUCUUCGGACAAUCUCUGACA
rnacentral:misc_RNA from 1 species